GGAGGAAAAGAAACUAACAAGGAUUCCCUUAGUAACUGCGAGUGAAGAGGGAAAAGCUCAAAUUUAAAAUCUGGCAGUAUUUUGCUGUCCGAGUUGUAACCUAGAGAAGUGUAACCUGUGCUGGACCGUGUAUAAGUUUCCUGGAAUGGAGCAUCACAGAGGGUGAGAAUCCCGUCUUUGACAUGGACUACCAGUGCAUUGUGGUUGUGCUCUCAACGAGUCGAGUUGUUUGGGAAUGCAGCUCUAAAUGGGUGGUAAAUUCCAUCUAAAGCUAAAUAUUGGCGAGAGACCGAUAGCGAACAAGUACCGUGAGGGAAAGAUGAAAAGAACUUUGGAAAGAGAGUUAAACAGUAUGUGAAAUUGUUGAAAGGGAAACGUUUGAAGUCAGUCGCGUUAGCUGGGGAUCAGCCUGACAUUGUUGGGUGCACUUCCUGGUUGACGGGCCAACAUCAGUUUUGACUGCCAGAAAAAGGCCAAGGGAAUGUGGCACCUUUGGGUGUGUUAUAGCCUUUGGUCAUAUAUGGUGGUUGGGACUGAGGAAUGCAGUGUGCCGAAAGGCCGGGUUUCGACCACGUUCACACUGAGGAUGUUGGCAUAAUGGCUUUAAGCGACCCGUCUUGAAACACGGACCAAGGAGUCUAACAUGCAUGCGAGUGUUUGGGUGGAAAACCCUUACGCGUAAUGAAAGUGAAAGUUGAGAUCCCUGUCGUGGGGAGCAUCGACGCCCGGACCAGAACUUUUGGGACGGAUCUGCGGUAGAGCACGUAUGUUGGGACCCGAAAGAUGGUGAACUAUGCCUGAAUAGGGUGAAGCCAGAGGAAACUCUGGUGGAGGCUCGUAGCGAUUCUGACGUGCAAAUCGAUCGUCAAAUUUGGGUAUAGGGGCGAAAGACUAAUCGAACCAUCUAGUAGCUGGUUCCUGCC
rnacentral:rRNA from 1 species